rnacentral:rRNA from 1 species
GGCGGAGUUAUAGCAUACCCCAAGCGCAGUAGUUUAGCUCGCUUUCAGGGAGGCUGUAGCUGCUUGCCGUAAAAAAACCCCCUAUACUUAUAG